rnacentral:rRNA from 1 species
GACGAACGCUGGCGGCGUGCUUAACACAUGCAAGUCGAACGGAAAGGCCCUGCUUUUGUGGGGUGCUCGAGUGGCGAACGGGUGAGUAACACGUGAGUAACCUGCCCUUGACUUUUGGAUAACUUCAGGAAACUGGGGCUAAUACCGGAUAGGAGCUCCUGCUGCAUGGUGGGGGUUGGAAAGUUUCGGCGGUUGGGGAUGGACUCGCGGCUUAUCAGCUUGUUGGUGGGGUAGUGGCUUAUCAAGGCUUUGACGGGUAGCCGGCCUGAGAGGGUGACCGGCCACAUUGGGACUGAGAUACGGCCCAGACUCCUACGGGAGGCAGCAGUGGGGAAUAUUGCACAAUGGGCGGAAGCCUGAUGCAGCAACGCCGCGUGCGGGAUGACGGCCUUCGGGUUGUAAACCGCUUUCGCCUGUGACGAAGCGUGAGUGACGGUAAUGGGUAAAGAAGCACCGGCUAACUACGUG